rnacentral:rRNA from 1 species
AUGCUAUCACAACUUGACUUCAAAAUAUUUUGUUUGGAGACCAUCAAACAUCGAUAUGUGCAUGAUGCUGAUUUUAAAGAUGUAUUGCAGAAUUGUAAAGAAGGAAGAACAUGGAACAACUUCGUCGUUAAUGAUGGAUUUGUGUUUCGUGCUAACAAGCUAUGUAUUCCAGCUAGCUCCGUUCGUAUUUUGUUGUUGCAGGAGACACAUGGAGGAAGAUUAAUGGGACACUUUAGCGUGAAGAAGACGGAGGACUUACUUGCUACACAUUUCUUUUGGCCAAAGAUGACACGGGAUGUUGAGCGCUUUGUUGCUCGCUGCACUACAUGUCAAAAAGCUAAGUCACGACUCAAUCCUCAUGGUUUAUAUAUGCCUUUGCCUGUACCUAGUGUUCCUUGGGAGGAUAUAUCUAUGGCUUUGUUUUAG